AGCAGCCGCGGUAAUUCCAGCUCCAAUAGCGUAUAUUAAAGUUGCUGCAGUUAAAAAGCUCGUAGUUGAAUUUCGGGACCAAUAUUUCGGUCGUGCCUCGGUACGUACUGGCAUCGUUGGUUUCUCCCUUCUGACGAACCAUGAUGUCAUUUAUUUGGUGUCGUGGGGAAUCAGGACUGUUACUUUAGAAAAAUUAGAGUGUUUAAAGCAGGCUCACGCUUGAAUACAUUAGCAUGGAAUAAUGAAAUAGGACGUUUGAUUCUAUUUUGUUGGUUUCUAGGAUCGACGUAAUGAUUAAUAGGGAUAGUUGGGGGCAUUAGUAUUCAAUUGUCAGAGGUGAAAUUCUUGGAUUUAUUGAAGACUAACUACUGCGAAAGCAUUUGCCAAGGAUGUUUUCAUUAAUCAAGAACGAAAGUUAGGGGAUCGAAGACGAUCAGAUACCGUCGUAGUCUUAACCAUAAACUAUGCCGACUAGGGAUCGGAUGAUGUUAAUUUUUAAUGUACUCA
rnacentral:rRNA from 1 species